AGCCAAUCCUCUUAGUAUCAUCUGUUUAUAAUCUAGGAAUCAUGGAAAGAGUUGUAUUCAUCUUAAUCAUGAGAUCAAUUUCUAGAACUCGAUGCUCAUCCCUGAUCUAAUGCUCCAUACUCAUCUUGAUAUGCAAGAUCGUUAAAUUGGGUUACAGAGAAAGAUAAGAUGGUGGCUGGUCCUAUACCGAUCACCCGAGUAUGAGGGAAUCUAUGAGAGAAAUAAUAAGAAAGAGAGAGAUAGGUGAGGCAUCUACAAAGAUGAGAGAAAAAGAUAAGGAAAAGAAUUGAGGAGAGGAGAAACAAUUAGGAUAGUGUAGCUUGAUGGUGAUAGUGUUGUAGCCUCUUUAAGUAGUGGUGCUCUGAUCGC
rnacentral:lncRNA from 1 species